UCUUCCGUAGUAUAGUGGUCAGUAUAUGAGCUUGUCACCGUUCUCCGGAACCGGCGCCGCUCGGGACCCGGGUUCAAUUCCCGGCGGGAGAG